GAUGAACGCUGGCGGCGUGCCUAAUACAUGCAAGUCGAGCGAACGGACGAGAAGCUUGCUUCCCUGAUGUUAGCGGCGGACGGGUGAGUAACACGUGGAUAACCUACCUAUAAGACUGGGAUAACUUCGGGAAACCGGAGCUAAUACCGGAUGAUAUUUUGAACCGCAUGGUUCAAAAGUGAAAGACGGUCUUGCUGUCACUUAUAGAUGGAUCCGCGCUGCAUUAGCUAGUUGGUAAGGUAACGGCUUACCAAGGCAACGAUGCAUAGCCGACCUGAGAGGGUGAUCGGCCACACUGGAACUGAGACACGGUCCAGACUCCUACGGGAGGCAGCAGUAGGGAAUCUUCCGCAAUGGGCGAAAGCCUGACGGAGCAACGCCGCGUGAGUGAUGAAGGUCUUCGGAUCGUAAAACUCUGUUAUUAGGGAAGAACAUAUGUGUAAGUAACUGAGCACAUCUUGACGGUACCUAAUCAGAAAGCCACGGCUAACUACGUG
rnacentral:rRNA from 1 species